AUGAAGAGCAUUUGGGUUGGAAUAAAGCGUGGGACAUUGCUUGCAACUGCCUUGCGAGCAUAUGCAGCAGAUCCUGACCUUCAACAAGAAUGGAUGAUGGUUAAGAAGGUUAACAAAAUGAGGCUCGCUGAGUACAUUGAAGCAACGAGUGGUGUGAAGGUUAGUUUAGAUGCAAUGUAUGAUGUGCCGACAAAGCAAAUACACGAGUACCAAAAAGGCAGCUGCUUAAUAUACUUGGCAUUAUCCAUCGAUAUGACUGUAUCGAGAUACUUGAAGUUGGAUGAUGUUUUCAUAGAAGAUGAGGGGUUUUUCAAAUGGAUCUCAUGUUCAUGUAAAUGCAUCAAGGAGUUACAUCUUGAAGAUAUUUUUGGAAUAAAUCAGAUCACCAUUGAAAGCUCCUCUUUGAAAUCUUUUAGUUUUGUGCUUGAUUCCCCUGUGUAUAUUGACCUUAUCCUUAGCAUCUCAGCUGAAAAAUCGUUUAGUUUUGUGCAUCACACUGAUUCCGAUCUGUUUCCCUACCUCCUCCUUAGCAUCUCAGGUGAAAAACUUGAAGACGUACUUAUUGACUGAGAAUUUGGAUCCACUUUCGAGAAUUUCUUAAAUAUUUUUGCUCCAAAUCUUAAAUAUUUGAAAUGGUCGGGGAAUGUAGUGCUUCGAAAAAAAUUGGGGGAAUUUAUGUGUUUAGAAAAAGCUCAGGUGUUUUUUAAAGCCUCAAGCGGAUGACGUUAAAAUCUUGUCUGAGGUUCUGCGCAGUAUAACUAUAAACAGGGUUGAAGCUCUUGUUCUAAACAAAGAGACCACCAUGGCUUUGUUAAAUGGAGUUUUCGUACCAGGGCUACUGAAGAAUGUUUGUUAUUUGUCUGUUCAUAUUGGAAGCUUUCUUGAUAUCCUAGUCCCAGAAAUGGUCUCUAUGUUUGGAGGAACGUGUAAUUUGAGAACUUUGGAAAUAAAGUCUGACCCACAGUUCCUUGACCUUAAAACUGAUUGUUCUGGUUAUAAUAUGGGAUAUUGGAGAUUGCAAAACCUUGCGUUUAUUCCUCAUCUUAAGGAGGUAACCAUAGAGCUGUCGAAUGGGUCUAACGGAAUCGAGUUAGCAGCGUAUAUGCUUGAGUAUGCCCAAAACUUGAAGAAAAUGGUGAUUGUGCAUUCGCCCCAGCAAUGUAGUGUUAUAAGGAAGUUAAAUAAAAGCAAGAGGAUUUCUAGUGCCACAGUAGUCUUUCAGGAAGAUCAACAAAGAGGAAACAAAAAGCAAAGACUAAGAUAAUGUAGCUUUACAAGGGCAUCUCUCCUCCUGCAUUGAGCUCAACAACAGCAAUUUUUAGGCAUUUUGUGUUGCAAUGUUGAAAUAUAUGUAUUUGACAUGUAAUGUAGGCACCAAACUCUGUUUUGGUCUGUUCUAGUUUAGGCAAUUUUAUCUUGAAACAUUACAAUAUGACUAGAACUUGAUUGACUUCCCAAAUUUCAAAAAAUUGAAGUAAUUAAUCUU